rnacentral:rRNA from 1 species
AUUGAACGCUGGCGGCAUGCCUUACACAUGCAAGUCGAACGGCAGCACGGGUGCUUGCACCUGGUGGCGAGUGGCGAACGGAUGAGUAAUGCAUCGGAACGUACCUUAUCGUGGGGGAUAACGCAGCGAAAGCUGUGCUAAUACCGCAUACGCCCUGAGGGGGAAAGCGGGGGAUCGCAAGACCUCGCGCGAUUAGAGCGGCCGAUGCCUGAUUAGCUUGUUGGUGGGGUAAAAGCCCACCAAGGCGACGAUCAGUAGCUGGUCUGAGAGGACGAUCAGCCACACUGGGACUGAGACACGGCCCAGACUCCUACGGGAGGCAGCAGUGGGGAAUUUUGGACAAUGGGGGCAACCCUGAUCCAGCAAUGCCGCGUGAGUGAAGAAGGCCUUCGGGUUGUAAAGCUCUUUUGUCAGGGAAGAAACACCGGCUCUAACACAGUCCGGGAAUGACGGUACCUGAAGAAUAAGCACCGGCUAACUACGUGCCAGCCGCCGCCGUAA